rnacentral:tRNA from 1 species
GCGCCCAUAGCUCAGUUGGAUAGAGUGUCUGACUACGAAUCAGAAGGUCGGGAGUUCGAAUCUCUCUGGGCGCA